GACGGGGCCGCACAAGCGGUGGAGCAUGUGUUUAAUUCGGAGCAACGCGAAGAACCUUACCAGGUCUUGACAUCCCGAUGCUAUUUCUAGAGAUAGAAAGUUACUUCGGUACAUCGGUGACAGGUGGUGCAUGGUCGUCGUCAGCUCGUGUCGUGAGAUGUUGGGUUAAGUCCCGCAACGAGCGCAACCCCUAUUGUUAGUUGCCAUCAUUCAGUUGGGCACUCUAGCGAGACUGCCGGUAAUAAACCGGAGGAAGGUGGGAUGACGUCAAAUCAUCAUGCCCCUUAUGACCUGGGCUACACACGUGCUACAAUGGUUGGUACAACGAGUUGCGAGUCGGUGACGGCGAGCUAAUCUCUUAAAGCCAAUCUCAGUUCGGAUUGUAGGCUGCAACUCGCCUACAUGAAGUCGGAAUCGCUAGUAAUCGCGGAUCAGCACGCCGCGGUGAAUACGUUCCCGGGCCUU
rnacentral:rRNA from 1 species